rnacentral:rRNA from 1 species
UGGGGAUGACGUCAAGUCAUCAUGGCCCUUACGACCAGGGCUACACACGUGCUACAAUGGCGCAUACAAAGAGAAGCGACCUCGCGAGAGCAAGCGGACCUCAUAAAGUGCGUCGUAGUCCGGAUUGGAGUCUGCAACUCGACUCCAUGAAGUCGGAAUCGCUAGUAAUCGUGGAUCAGAAUGCCACGGUGAAUACGUUCCCGGGCCUUGUACACACCGCCCGUCACACCAUGGGAGUGGGUUGCAAAAGAAGUAGGUA